UCCACAGUUCUCUUCAGGGGAUCCACGAUCUGCCAGCAUAUGAGAAUGCACAAAUCAAUCAGCAACAUCCCACCCACGAUGAUAAAGAGCUUCUGGUCCUUGAUAAUCUGAAAGAGAGAAAAAAAGAAAGAAAGAAAAGCAAUGGAUGAGUGGUUGACCUGAACAGAACCCAAAUCAAAGGAAAGGUCAUGGCGAGGAAGCCUAGGUGUAUUCAGACAGCGGGAACGAACAAAUUCUUCCAUGAUUCAGAAUAGAAAUGCUAACUCGUUUUGAUCUGAUGUCUUUUGAUGGCUUACCAAUACCAAAACCUUGCGUUGUGGGAAACAAGGAGGUGAGCUCAGAUUUAAAUCCGGAAGAUGCACGGCCCACAGAGGUGAUUGACACAGCCCUCGCUGCGCCCCGAGGGCGAGACUGUAACAGACCCCUCGGACCACCGGACCCGCAUCGAACGGCGGCUGAUUUGAGACGGGCUGUCUGUGGAGUCACAUACUGUGAGACUGCUUCUCAGCUUGAUAAAGAGAUGGCACACCCACAUGCACACUCACAAAACACAGUCCUGACAGCAGCCAUCGCUUUAGACUGCCAAAGCCCAGCAGUCCAUCACUGUGUGGAGCGGGAGUCAGCUCACUGCCAGCUUCCUGCACACUGAAGUGCCGGAGGGAAUUAAAGCCCUGAGCCUGGGCAUUACCUGUCUCUGAAUUUAUUUAUAUGUAGUGGGUCCAGUUAAGAACUGCUAAUUGAGUGUGAAAGUGCAACUGAAGAGAAGACACCAGGGAAAAAAAAACUUACAUGCAAUGUAUCAAGCUGGAAUUACAUCACAUACUCCUUCUAAAUCUUUGUUUGGAAGUCUGUUAUCAGGGAAAACAGGAUUUUUGUUGCUCCUUAACUCUAAAAUAAAUAGAAAUAAAAGAUUUUGACGUAGAAUACAGCAUACAGUGUGCUCGACCUGACUGUUCAAUUCCAAUUUAAUAGAUGAACCAGAAGUAAUAUGGAACAGUUUUUUUUUUUUUUUUUUUUUUGGCCUUUUUGCAGACAGGAUAGUGGAGAUUGACACUUUGGGUGGAGAGAGGGAAAUGAGAUCGGCAAAGGACCUCGAGUUGGAUUCAAACCCAGGUCGGCUGGAAGCACAGUUGUGCCAUAUGUCAGUGCCCUAACCACUAGGCUAUCAGCACCAACACCGAAGACAAUUUUUAACGUUAAUCUUUCUUGACUAAUCAUUUGAUCAGACUAGCAAAUGUUAACAAAUUUGCACAAAAUUGGAUAAAAAUGCAAAAUGUCAGCUUUCAUUUACAUGAUGAUAACUGGACACCACUCGAUUCAGAAACUUGGUCCACCAUUUUAAAGCUUCAAAGAAAGAGGGGUAAAAACUGCACUGCAAUAAUGUAAAACUACAGUACUGAACUAAAUUCUGAUGCAAUAUUAUCAGUGGACUUAAAUGUUGUUCACGAGUUCACACUUACAAAUAAGUCAGAUAAAAUAAAUGGUAAACGUAUUUGGCGUGCUGUCCGGGGAGAGGGCUCCGAGCUAAAAUUAAAAUAUUAAAAUAUACAGUUUUAAAAGUAAAGCCUCAAGACUUACACAUUACAGAAUAUGUGUGAAUCGCUUAAUUAGAAAAUCUUCUCACAUUAAAUGACUUUAUAAAAGUGCUUUAACAAAAACACACGCUUCACAUUUCAGCAUUUAAAUCCUUUGGAUUAAAUUACUUACAUUGUAAAUGUGAUACUGUAAUUUUUUACUUUUUUUAAAAAAAAGAAGCAAAAAAAAAAAAAAAAAAAAAAGAGAGAAGCAAAAGUCUGUGGUAGAGGUCUUUACGGAUCCACUUGGAACCGAAAACCUGAUGUCCGACCCGAGACCCAAGCGGGUUUCGGUCCAAAACUUAGACGAGUGUCUCGGACACGGGUCGGGUCCGAUGUUAGUAGCCUCAGGUCUUGGGUAAUUUAAAAUAAAUGUACUUUUUUUUAUCAAAUGGACCCCAGAAUAUUUUAAAAUAUGCCAACUUUCCACUGUUCGUCUCAGGUGUUUAACAAUAUUUUAUUAUUUACAACAAAUACUAAUAUUAAAUAAUUCUAUGAGAACACUAUUAUCCCCCUUCUUCUCUGUCGAUAUGCCCUUCUACGAGUACUAAACCCUCCAGAAUAUUAGUGAGUGCAGCAGCGGAGCAUGCUCAACAUAAAACUACGCUCUGCAAUACCCGACCCAUUCGAGAGGAUAAGUGUGGGGGCUUGCGUCUUAAUAUUAACAUAAACACUUUAAACAGUUUAUUUCGACAGUCCACUUUAGACAUUCUACUAACUAUAAAUAACUUUGCAGCUACAUGUCAACUACCAGUUAAACGUGUGACACGCUACAACAGACCUAGUUGGUUCAUGUGUGUCAUGCACGCACAUUUGAGCUUCUUCUUUUGCUUUUAAUGCUGGUUGGCAAACCCACUUGAAGUUGCACACCGCCACCUACAGCACAACACCUGCUUGACAACUGACGUAAAAUAAAGGAUUGGUCUUAGUGUAGCCGAUACUGACCAGUUAAAAAAAUGCUUAAUUGGCCCCGAUACCAAUCCUUAAGAUCGACUCGGGACAUCCCUAAAAAUAAUACUAAAGCCACGUUUCCACCGCAGGAACUUUCCCCAGGAACUAAGGACUUUGGAGUGGUACUCGGUUUUCAACCGCAGGAACCAGGGUCUAAAUGAAGUUCCAGGUAAAAAUUUCCCCCUCAGAAAGUCCCUGCUCUCGAGGUAGUACUUUCUCAAACUUGGGCGCUGAACAUGCCGAUUGGUUGAGUUCACGCAGCAUUUUGAUUGGUUGACUCCAUGCAGCAUUUUAUUUCAACCAUAAUUUUUAAAAGUCUGUUGCGGUGCAUGCAGUAAGAGUUGUUUGCUAUUUGAAUCAACAAUGGAAUUUUAAAAAAUAUGACCGACGAUGAAGUUAGGGCUUUAUUAUGCUUAAAUGCAGUGGACGAAAUACAGAGGGAACUGAGAAGUUGCACGCAGUCCUACGUCACCAGACUUAAUCUUCACGGUACUUCAGUUCUCUCAGUUACCAAAUUUACCUUCACAAUUGUUUAUCACUCUCUGUCCUACUCUUUCUUUCUGUAUAUAUUUUUCUUGAAAUCAUCCCACUGUUUCUGACUGCAGCAGUGGAAGUAGGCUGUGAGCUCUAUAAAUAAAGAUGGCCAGCAGGGUGCUAGAGCUGUGGCUAGCCAUCCUUUACAGCACUGUCAUACAGUAUCAGCUGCCUCACUCGCCACAUUCUUACGCUGCAUUGAAAAACAAGAGCAGGGAGAGAAAGAGAGAAUGAAAGGAGGUCAGUGUGCGUGCAUGAAUCUGUUGUGUUAAAGACCUGCAUGGAUGCGCUUGUGCGUAGCUACAGUUCAAAAGAAACCCACUGCACUAUUCCUCAGAAUGUGAUGGGGGUUUUUUUCAGAGGAAAUUCACUCGCAGACUUGUGAAAACCGUGUCUAGCGGAGCAGGAAGACACCAUUCUUUAGAAGAGAUCAGAGAUUCAUUGGUUAGCACUGGGAGUGCAGGCUGAUUUUUGGAUAUGUCAGGAAACUGAGCAUGGA